GGCUGUGAUGGCCCUCUGCCCACACACACACACGAUAUAUAUAAGAAGAGCCUCACACAUCCCACCACACAAACUGUCCAGAGCUCGACAGAAGCACUUGUCUCCCUCCUCCGUGUCUACGUGUUGACAAUGUCCACUUCCAGGAACUUGCUGGGGAAGGCGCUGAUGCUACUCCUCAUUGUGGUAUCCCUCGACCAGGCUAAAGUUGAAGGGCUGCCCCAGGGAGUUGUUACACACCCACGACCAAAUCCUCUCCUAAACGACCCCUACCUUAACCCGGUUGGACCUGGUUCCGUUGUUGCAGGCCCAUAUGGACGACCAAAAGUGAGCAAUGAAUUUGGAAUUUGGACUAAUGAAGGACAUCAGAGCUUCGAGUUCUUUCCAGGUCAUCCAGGCCAUCCAGGCCAUCCAGGCCAUCCAGGCCAUGGUAGUACUCACCCUGGAGUCCACCAGCCCUAUGCACCUGUAGGUCACCAGAACCAUGCGGCUCAGGGUCAUCCUUCUACAGGAUAGAGACUAAGUAGUUGCUGUUGUGGGUGGUGAUGGUGAGGAAGGAGGCUGGCUGGAGAAGUGGUCAUCGACUCUGUAUAUUUUGGCAAGUGUUGCAUCUGCCACCACCAUCUACAGCAGACGGCAGCAGACACCUAACUUCUGCCACCACCACCACCACCACCAUAACAUAGAACUACUCGCUCUGUUGACACGAUUUAGGGCUCAUCAUGUUAACCAACAAAAUGUCAGCUUCAAGUAAGACCAAGAGUAACCUUCUUUAACUACAUUGUGUCUUCUGUGUUGAUGUUUUGUUUGUAAACCUUUUAUUAUUUGUUCUCUUUAACACUUAAUAUAAAACAUUGUGGCCAUAAUAAUAAAAAUAACUGGAUAAAACAA
rnacentral:lncRNA from 1 species